GAUGAACGCUGGCGGCGUGCCUAAUACAUGCAAGUCGAGCGAAUGGAUUAAGAGCUUGCUCUUAUGAAGUUAGCGGCGGACGGGUGAGUAACACGUGGGUAACCUGCCCAUAAGACUGGGAUAACUCCGGGAAACCGGGGCUAAUACCGGAUAACAUUUUGAACCGCAUGGUUCGAACUUGAAAGGCGGCUUCGGCUGUCACUUAUGGAUGGACCCGCGUCGCAUUAGCUAGUUGGUGAGGUAACGGCUCACCAAGGCAACGAUGCGUAGCCGACCUGAGAGGGUGAUCGGCCACACUGGGACUGAGACACGGCCCAGACUCCUACGGGAGGCAGCAGUAGGGAAGCGUCCGCAAUGGACGAAAGGCUGACGGAGCAACGCCGCGUGAGUGAUGAAGGCUUUCGGGUCGUAAAACUCUGUUGUUAGGGAAGAACAAGUGCUAGUUGAAUAAGCUGGCACCUUGACGGUACCUAACCAGAAAGCCACGGCUAACUACGUGCCAGCCGCCGCAGUAA
rnacentral:rRNA from 1 species